ACCCGUGUGGCUCAGUUGGUAGAGCAUGGUGUUUGCAACGCCAGGGUUGUGGUUCGAUUUCCACGGGGG
rnacentral:tRNA from 1 species